UACGUAGGGUGCAAGCGUUGUCCGGAAUUAUUUGGGCGUAAAGAGCUCGUAGGUGGUUUGUUCGCGUCUGUCGUGAAAGCCCAUGGCUUAACUGUGGGUCUGCGGUGGAUACGGGCAGGCUAGAGGCAGUAGGGGAGAACGGAAUUUCCGGUGUAGCGGUGAAAUGCGUAGAUAUCGGAAGGAACACCAGUGGCGAAAGCGGCUUCCUGGUCCAGCAUCGACGUUCAGGCACGAAAGCGUGGGGAUCAAACAGG
rnacentral:rRNA from 1 species